GCUGCCGCCGCCGCCAGGGCCCGGACUCGGACGCGUGGUAGAAUGAACCCGGCCCACUCUGGCCCUUGGGCCAGACCUGUAACCUGUGACCUGACAUGUCCUUGCCCCUCUAGCCUAGAGUCCUGGGGAGCUUCUGUCCACCUGUCCUGCAGAGGAGUCGUUUCCAGCCCGGCUGCCCCAGGAUGGGUGAGUUCAACGAGAAGAAGACAACAUGUGGCACCGUUUGCCUCAAGUACCUGCUGUUUACCUACAAUUGCUGCUUCUGGCUGGCUGGCCUGGCUGUCAUGGCAGUGGGCAUCUGGACGCUGGCCCUCAAGAGUGACUACAUCAGCCUGCUGGCCUCAGGCACCUACCUGGCCACAGCCUACAUCCUGGUGGUGGCGGGCACUGUCGUCAUGGUGACUGGGGUCUUGGGCUGCUGCGCCACCUUCAAGGAGCGUCGGAACCUGCUGCGCCUGGUCAGGAGGGCGCAGGGCCACGGGGUGGGGGUGGUGCAGAUGGGCCCAAGGAGGUUGUCGCUGCAGGCUUUGAACCUGUGCCU
rnacentral:lncRNA from 1 species